GUGCUCACUUUGGCAGCACAUAUACUAAAAUUGGAAUGAUACAGAGAAGAUUAGCAUGGCCCCUGAGCAAGGAUGAAAAAAACAAAGGAAGAAAAGAGGAAGAAAAAA